AUCGAGGCGCUUGGGGCAAUGACGCAGCUAGUGAGGUUCUAACCGAGGCACGUCUAUUGCUAGUUGAAAACUUUUUAAAAACUCUGCAUCUAUGUCUCGGUAUCUUGAUCAAUACUGAUCUUUCUAACUUCCAACUCCUGUUA